rnacentral:rRNA from 1 species
UUGAUCCUGGCUCAGAAUCAACGCUGGCGGCGUGCCUAACACAUGCAAGUCGAACGCGAAAGGGACUUCGGUCCUGAGUAGAGUGGCGAACGGGUGAGUUACACGUGGGUGACCUACCUUCGAAUGGGGGAUAACGUCCCGAAAGGGACUCUAAUACCGCAUAACAUCCUGUCCUUGAACGGACGGUGAUCAAAGCCGGUGAUCGCAAGACCUGGCGUUUGAAGAGGGGCCCGCGUCCGAUUAGCUAGUUGGUGAGGUAACGGCUCACCAAGGCGACGAUCGGUAACCGGCCUGAGAGGUCGGACGGUCACACUGGGACUGAGACACGGCCCAGACUCCUACGGGAGGCUGCAGUGGGGAAUUGUUCACAAUGGGCGCAAGCCUGAUGACGCAACGCCGUGUGGAGGAUGAAGGUCUUCGGAUUGUAAACUCCUGUUGCCCGGGACGAAUAGCUUCGACCUAACACGUCGAAGUCUGACGGUACCGGGUGAGGAAGCCCUGGCUAACUCUGUGCCAGCAGCCGCGGUAAUAAGGU